rnacentral:rRNA from 1 species
GACGAACGCGGGCGGCGUGCCUAAUACAUGCAAGUAGAACGCUGAAGGAGGAGCUUGCUUCUCUGGAUGAGUUGCGAACGGGUGAGUAACGCGUAGGUAACCUGCCUGGUAGCGGGGGAUAACUAUUGGAAACGAUAGCUAAUACCGCAUAAGAGUAGAUGUUGCAUGACAUUUGCUUAAAAGGUGCAAUUGCAUCACUACCAGAUGGGCCUGCGUUGUAUUAGCUAGUUGGUGGGGUAACGGCUCACCAAGGCGACGAUACAUAGCCGACCUGAGAGGGUGAUCGGCCACACUGGGACUGAGACACGGCCCAGACUCCUACGGGAGGCAGCAGUAGGGAAUCUUCGGCAAUGGACGGAAGUCUGACCGAGCAACGCCGCGUGAGUGAAGAAGGUUUUCGGAUCGUAAAGCUCUGUUGUAAGAGAAGAACGAGUGUGAGAGUGGAAAGUUCACACUGUGACGGUAUCUUACCAGAAAGGGACGGCUAACUACGUGCCAGCAGCCGCGGUAAUACGUAGGUCCCGAGCGUUGUCCGGAUUUAUUGGGCGUAAAGCGAGCGCAGGCGGUUAGAUAAGUCUGAAGUUAAAGGCUGUGGCUUAACCAUAGUACGCUUUGGAAACUGUUUAACUUGAGUGCAAGAGGGGAGAGUGGAAUUCCAUGUGUAGCGGUGAAAUGCGUAGAUAUAUGGAGGAGCACCGGUGGCGAAAGCGGCUCUCUGGCUUGUAACUGACGCUGAGGCUCGAAAGCGUGGGGAGCAAACAGG